ACUCAAAGGAAUAGACGGGGGCCCGCACAAGCAGCGGAGCGUGCGGUUCAAUUCGAUGGUACGCGAAGAACCUUACCCAGACUUGACAUGCAGGUGGUACCGAGCCGAAAGGUGAGGGACCCGCAAGGGAGCCUGCAAUGGUGUUGCACGGCCGUCGUCAGCUCGUGUCGUGAGAUGUUGGGUUAAGUCCCGCAACGAGCGCAACCCUCGCCGUCUGUUGUAUCACUCAGACGGGACUGCCGAGAGAAACUCGGAGGAAGGUGGGGAUGAUGUCAGGUCCGCGUGGCCCUUAUGUCUGGGGCUACACGCACGCUACAAUGGCCGGUAACAGCGGGUCGCAACUGCGCGAGCAGGAGCUAAUCCCUUAAAACCGGCCUCAGUUCAGAUCGGAGGCUGAAACCCGCCUCCGUGAAGUUGGAGUUGCUAGUAACCGCAGGUCAGCACACUGCGGUGAAUAUGUUCCCGGGCCUUGUACACACCGCCCGU
rnacentral:rRNA from 1 species